rnacentral:rRNA from 1 species
GACAGAGGUGCCGAGCGUUAGGCGGAAUCACUGGGCUUAAAGCGUGUGUAGGCGGACUUCUAAGUACCUUGUGAAAUCCCAUGGCUCAACCAUGGAACUGCUCGGUAUACUGGUUGUCUUGAGCCACUUAGGGGCAGUCGGAACAGACGGUGGAGCGGUGAAAUGCGUAGAUAUCGUUUGGAACGCCGAUGGUGAAAACAGGUCGCUGGGGUUGUGCUGACGCUGAGACACGAAAGCCAGGGGAGCGAACGGG